GACGAACGCUGGCGGCGUGCUUAACACAUGCAAGUCGAACGGUAAGGCCCUUCGGGGUACACGAGUGGCGAACGGGUGAGUAACACGUGGGUGAUCUGCCCUGCACUUCGGGAUAAGCCUGGGAAACUGGGUCUAAUACCGGAUAGGACCACUGCCUGCAUGGGUGGUGGUGGAAAGCUUUUGCGGUGUGGGAUGGGCCCGCGGCCUAUCAGCUUGUUGGUGGGGGGAUGGCCUACCAAGGCGACGACGGGUAGCCGGCCUGAGAGGGUGACCGGCCCCACUGGGACUGAGAUACGGCCCAGACUCCUACGGGAGGCAGCAGUGGGGAAUAUUGCACAAUGGGCGCAAGCCUGAUGCAGCGACGCCGCGUGAGGGAUGACGGCCUUCGGGUUGUAAACCUCUUUCAGCACCGACGAAGCGCAAGUGACGGUAGGUGCAGAAGAAGGACCGGCCAACUACGUGCCAGCCGCCGCGGUAA
rnacentral:rRNA from 1 species